UGGGGAAUUUUGGACAAUGGGGGAAACCCUGAUCCAGCCAUCCCGCGUGUGCGAUGAAGGCCUUCGGGUUGUAAAGCACUUUUGGCAGGAAAGAAACGUCAUGGGUUAAUACCCCGUGAAACUGACGUUACCUGCAGAAUAAGCACCGGCUAACUACGUGCCAGCAGCCGCGGUAAUACGUAGGGUGCAAGCGUUAAUCGGAAUUACUGGGCGUAAAGCGUGCGCAGGCGGUUCGGAAAGAAAGAUGUGAAAUCCCAGAGCUCAACUUUGGAACUGCAUUUUUAACUACCGGGCUAGAGGGUGUGAGAGGGAGGUGGAAUUCCGCGUGUAGCAGUGAAAUGCGUAGAUAUGCGGAGGAACACCGAUGGCGAAGGCAGCCUCCUGGGAUAACACUGACGCUCAUGCACGAAAGCGUGGGGAGCAAACAGG
rnacentral:rRNA from 1 species